GUGUCAGCCGCCGCGGUAAGACGAACCGUGCGAACGUUGUUCGGAAUCACUGGGCAUAAAGGGCGCGUAGGCGGCUUUUCAAGUCAGGGGUGAAAUCCGGCAGCUCAACUGUCGAAGUGCCUUUGAUACUGAAGAGCUCGAGGGAGGUAGGGGUGUGCGGAACUUCCGGUGGAGCGGUGAAAUGCGUUGAUAUCGGAAGGAACGCCGGUGGCGAAAGCGGCGCACUGGACCUCUUCUGACGCUGAGGCGCGAAAGCCAGGGGAGCAAACGGGAUUAGAAACCCUUGUAGUCC
rnacentral:rRNA from 1 species